rnacentral:rRNA from 1 species
AUUGAACGCUGGCGGCAGGCCUAACACAUGCAAGUCGAACGAGUGGCGGACGGGUGCGUAAUGUCUGGGAAACUGCCCGAUGUAGGGGGAUAACUACUGGAAACGGUAGCUAAUACCGCGUACCAUCGGCUGUGCCCCGAUGGGAUUAGCUUGUCGUUGAGGGAACGGCUCACCUAGGCGACGAUCCCUAGCUGGUCUGAGAGGAUGACCAGCCACACUGGAACUGAGACACGGGCCAGACUCCUACGGGAGGCAGCAGUGGGGAAUAUUGCACAAUGGGCGAAAGCCUGAGACAGCCAUGCCGCGUGUAUGAAGAAGGCCUUCGGGUUGUAAAGUACUUUCAGCGGGGAGGCGUUACCCGCAGAAGAAGCACCGGCUAACUCCGUGCCAGCAGCCGCGGUAAUAC